CGGCUCCGUUUCUUGCUGAAUUGACAAUCUGAGGCCACCACGAUGCUCCUGCGAAAGUUGUCUGCAAAUCUUCCAGAACGGAUCGUUGGUGGGGCUAGUUUGGAUUUCAUCCCAAUCCCAAGGGUGUUGAGCAGCAAACCCUGCGGAUGUAAGGCCAGAGUACAGUAGGGGCUUUUCAGAAUUUGGGGAAUCCAGUUAGAUAGGCGAACCGAGCUCUGUGUCAAUAGAAGCAGUUCAUACUAUCCAGUGGGAGGGUGAGUUGCUGAGCGAGCGUCAGAUGGUUUUUGGAUUAUAAUCCUAGUGUUACCC